rnacentral:rRNA from 1 species
AUUGAACGCUGGCGGCAGGCCUAACACAUGCAAGUCGAACGAGUGGCGGACGGGUUAGUAAUGUCUGGGAAACUGCCCGAUGGAGGGGGAUAACUACUGGAAAAGGUUGCUAAUAACGCAUACCAUCGGAUGUGCCCAGAUGGGAUUAGCUAGUGGGGGGGGUAACGGCUUACCAAGGCGACGAUCCCUAGCUGGUCUGAGAGGAUGACCAGCCACACUGGAACUGAGACAAGGUCCAGACUCCUCAGGGAGGCAGCAGUGGGGAAUAUUGGACAAUGGGCGAAAGCCUGAUCCAGCCAUGCCGCGUGUGUGAAGAAGGCCGUCGGGUUGUAAAGUACUUUCAGCGAGGAGGCGUUACUCGCAGAAGAAGCACCGGCUAACUCCGUGCCAGCAGCCGCGGUAAUUC